AACGAACGCUGGCGGCAUGCCUAACACAUGCAAGUCGAACGAGACCUUCGGGUCUAGUGGCGCACGGGUGCGUAACACGUGGGAAUCUGCCCAGAGGUUCGGAAUAACACAGAGAAAUUUGUGCUAAUACCGGAUGAUGUCGCAAGACCAAAGAUUUAUCGCCUUUGGAGGAGCCCGCGUAGGAUUAGGUAGUUGGUGGGGUAAAGGCUCACCAAGCCGACGAUCCUUAGCUGGUCUGAGAGGAUGAUCAGCCACACUGGGACUGAGACACGGCCCAGACUCCUACGGGAGGCAGCAGUGGGGAAUAUUGGACAAUGGGCGAAAGCCUGAUCCAGCAAUGCCGCGUGAGUGAAGAAGGCCUUCGGGUUGUAAAGCUCUUUUACCCGGGAAGAUAAUGACUGUACCGGGAGAAUAAGCCCCGGCUAACUCCGUGCCAGCCGCCGCAGUAAAAC
rnacentral:rRNA from 1 species